rnacentral:rRNA from 1 species
CAGGCCUAACACAUGCAAGUCGAACGCGAACGGUUCUUCGGAACUUAUUAGAGUGGCGGACGGGUGAGUAACACGUGGGAACAUGCCUUUCAGUAAGGAACAACGCUUGGAAACGAGUGCUAAUACCUUAUACGCCCCAAGGGGGAGAGAUUUAUCGCUGAAAGAUUGGCCCGCGCUAGAUUAGUUAGUUGGUGAGGUAACGGCUCACCAAGGCUACGAUCUAUAGCUGGUUUGAGAGGAUGAUCAGCCACACUGGGACUGAGACACGGCCCAGACUCCUACGGGAGGCAGCAGUGGGGAAUAUUGGACAAUGGGGGCAACCCUGAUCCAGCGAUGCCGCGUGAGUGAUGAAGGCCUUAGGGUUGUAAAACUCUUUCAGUAGGGAUGAUAAUGACAGUACCUACAGAAGAAGCUCCGGCUAACUCCGUGCCAGCAGCCGCGGUAAUACGGAGGGAGCUAGCGUUGUUCGGAAUUACUGGGCGUAAAGCGCGCGUAGGCGGCUUUGCAAGUAGAGGGUGAAAUCCCGGGGCUCAACCCCGGAACUGCCUUCUAAACUGCAGAGCUAGAAUCCUGGAGAGGUGAGUAGAAUUCCUAGUGUAGAGGUGAAAUUCGUAGAUAUUAGGAAGAAUACCAGUGGCGAAGGCGGCUCACUGGACAGGUAUUGACGCUGAGGUGCGAAAGCGUGGGGAGCGAACAGGAUUAGAUACCCUGGUAGUCCACGCCGUAAAC